GGAUGUAGCUCAGCUGGUUAGAGCGCCAGGUUGUGGCCCUGGAGGUCGCGGGUUCGAGUCCCGUCAUU
rnacentral:tRNA from 1 species